UACGUAGGGGGCAAGCGUUAUCCGGAUUUACUGGGUGUAAAGGGAGCGUAGACGGUACGGCAAGUCUGAUGUGAAAACCCGGGGCUCAACCCCGGGACUGCAUUGGAAACUGUCGGACUAGAGUGUCGGAGAGGCAAGUGGAAUUCCUAGUGUAGCGGUGAAAUGCGUAGAUAUUAGGAGGAACACCAGUGGCGAAGGCGGCUUGCUGGACGAUGACUGACGUUGAGGCUCGAAAGCGUGGGGAGCAAAUAGG
rnacentral:rRNA from 1 species